rnacentral:rRNA from 1 species
UACAGAGGUCUCGAGCGUUGUUCGGAUUCAUUGGGCGUAAAGGGUGCGUAGGUGGCGCUGUAAGUCGGGUGUGAAAUUUCGGAGCUUAACUCCGAAACUGCAUUCGAUACUGCCGUGCUUGAGGACUGGAGAGGAGACUGGAAUUUACGGUGUAGCGGUGAAAUGCGUAGAUAUCGUAAGGAAGACCAGUGGCGAAGGCGGGUCUCUCGGACAGUUCCUGACGCUGAGGCACGAAGGCCAGGGGAGCGAACGGG